GAUGAACGCUAGCGGGAGGCCUAACACAUGCAAGCCGAGCGGUAGAGAUUCUUCGGAAUCUUGAGAGCGGCGUACGGUGCGGAACACGUGUGCAACCUACCUUUAUCUGGAGGAUAGCCUUUCGAAAGGAAGAUUAAUACUCCAUAAUAUAUUGAUUGGCAUCAAUUGAUAUUGAAAGCUCCGGCGGAUAGAGAUGGGCACGCGCAAGAUUAGUUAGUUGGUGAGGUAACGGCUCACCAAGACGAUGAUCUUUAGGGGCCUGAGAGGUGAUCCCCACACUGGUACUGAGACACGGACCAGACUCCUACGGGAGGCAGCAGUGAGGAAUAUUGGUCAAUGGGUGCAAGCCUGAACCAGCCAUCCCGCGUGAAGGACGACUGCCCUAUGGGUUGUAAACUUCUUUGUAUAGGGAUAAACCUACCUCGUGAGGGUAGCUGAAGGUACUAUACGAAUAAGCACCGGCUAACUCCGUGCCAGCAGCCGCGG
rnacentral:rRNA from 1 species